UGAAUACGAGAUGCUACGGCGUCGAAGCAGUCUAUGUCAUACUUCCAAGAAAAGCUCGCACUGUCAUAAACAAAUAAUGCCUGUACCAUAACCGACACAGGUGGGUAGGUAGAGUAUACUAAGGGGCGCGAGAUAACUCUCUCUAAGGAACUCGGCAAAAUGACUCCGUAACUUCGGGAGAAGGAGUGCCUUAUUUAUAAGGUUGCAAUAACAAGAUCCAAGCAACUGUUUAUCAAAAACACAGGUCUCCGCUAAGUCGUAAGACGAUGUAUGGGGGCUGACGCCUGCCCAGUGCCAGAAGGUUAAAGAAGUUGGUUAGCAUUCGCGAAGUUGAUAACUGAAGCCCUGGUGAACGGCGGCCGUAACAAUAACGGUCCUAAGGUAGCGAAAUUCCUUGUCGGGUAAGUUCCGACCCGCACGAAAGGCGUAAUGAUUAGGAUACUGUCUCGGAGAGGGGCUCGGUGAAAUAGACUUGUCUGUGAAGAUGCGGACUACCUGCACCAGGACAGAAAGACCCUAUGAAGCUUUACUGUAACUUGAGAUUGAAAUUGGACUUUACUUGCGCAGUAUAGGUGGGAGGCGUUGAUAAUAUUCUUGCGGGAUUAUUUGAGCCAUCAGUGAGAUACCACUCUUGUAAUGUUAGAUUUCUAACUUUGUAUCAUUAUCUGGUCAAAGGACAGUUUCAGGCGGGCAGUUUGACUGGGGCGGUCGCCUCCUAAACGGUAACGGAGGCGCACAAAGGUUUCCUCUGAACGGGUAGAAAUCGUAUCUAGAGUGUAAAGGCAUAAGGAAGCUUGACUGUGAGACCUACAAGUCGAGCAGGGACGAAAGUCGGUCUUAGUGAUCUGACGGUGCUGAGUGGAAAGGCCGUCACUCAACGGAUAAAAGUUACUCUAAGGAUAACAGGCUGAUCUCCCCCAAGAGUUCACAUCGACGGGGAGGUUUGGCACCUCGAUGUCGGCUCAUCGCAUCCUGGGGCGGUAGUACGUCCCAAGGGUUGGGCUGUUCGCCCAUGAAAGCGGUACGCGAGCUGGGUUCAGAACGUCGUGAGACAGUUCGGUCCAUAUCCGGUGUAGGCGUUAGAAUAUUGAGAGGAGCCUUCUUUAGUACGAGAGGACCGAGAAGGACAUACCUCUGGUGUACCAGUUAUCGUGCCAACGGUAAACGCUGGGUAGCUAUGUAUGGAGUGGAUAACCGCUGAAAGCAUCUAAGUGGGAAGCCCACCUCAAGAUAAGUAUUCUC
rnacentral:rRNA from 1 species